ACGCUGUGAACAGACAGGUGGACGUUCUAUACAGGUGGCUCACCGUAUCACCACCAAUCCACGGUAAGCUGGUAACGCUUCCGUGAACAGACAGGUAGUCGUCCUUAUACAGGUGGCUACACCGUAUCACCACCGAUUCACGGGAAGCUGUUAAACGCGCUGUGAACAGACAGGUGGCCGUUCUAUACACGGUGGCUAGCACCCGUAUCACCACC